UACGUAGGGACCGAGCGUUGUCCGGAAUCAUUGGGCGUAAAGAGCGUGUAGGCGGCCACUUAAGUCCUGCGUGAAAUCUUGCGGCUCAACCGCAAGCGGUCGUGGGAAACUGGGUGGCUAGAGUGCGGGAGAGGAGAGUGGAAUUCCUGGUGUAGCGGUGAAAUGCGCAGAUAUCAGGAGGAACACCGAUGGCGAAGGCAGGUCUCUGGGCAUUAACUGACGCUGAGGAGCGAAAGCAUGGGGGAGCGAACAGG
rnacentral:rRNA from 1 species